rnacentral:rRNA from 1 species
UACAGAGGUGGCAAGCGUUGUUCGGAAUUACUGGGCGUAAAGGGCGCGUAGGCGGUCAGGUAAGUCCGGUGUGAAAGUCAAAGGCUCAACCUUUGAAUGCCGCUGGAUACUGCCUGACUUGAGUCCGGAAGGGGCGAGUGGAAUUCCUGGUGUAGCGGUGAAAUGCGCAGAUAUCAGGAAGAACACCAAUGGCGAAAGCAGCUUUCUGGGACGGUACUGACGCUGAGACGCGAAAGCGUGGGGAGCGAACAGG